GGUUUAGGUCGGUGAGCUGGGUCCUGGGUCGUUUGUUUCUGGCCAUGUUUCCCAUGAUGCCAGUUGUGGGGAGAGAACCCAACGUUCACAUGGUGUGUUCUCUCCCUGUUCAUCUCUGUCUUUUACCUCUGGUCGGCAAUGAAACAGACUACACUACACCUGACUGACCUUUACCUCUUCAUCUCCCAGCAUACACUCCAGUCUGCAGCUGAAACAGGGUCUGCCUCUCAUCAGCCAGAUCAUCAGCUGGACUAAACUGGCCUGCCAGCCUGUCCUGAUCCUGAGCCUGCCUGUCCUGACCCUGAGUCCGCCUGAGCCAGCUUGCCAUCCUGAGUGCCGUCUGGUACCUGCCUGACUUUGCCCUGGAUUACCAACCUCUGCCUGCCCUCAACCUGCUGUUUGCCUGCCCCUUGUGUUAUAUUAAAUGUCUGAGAUUCAAACUAUCCGCCUCCUGUGUCUGCAUCUAGGUCUCAUCCUGAUCCAUGAUAGCAGUGGUGUAAAAAGUUCUCAAUUGUCAUUCUUGAGUAAAAGUAAAGAUACCUUAAUAGAAAAUGAC